rnacentral:rRNA from 1 species
UACGUAGGGUCCAAGCGUUAUCCGGAUUUAUUGGGUUUAAAGGGUGCGUAGGCGGAUUAGUAAGUCAGUGGUGAAAGCCUGCAGCUCAACUGUAGAACUGCCAUUGAUACUGCUAGUCUUGAAUAUAGUUGAGGUAGGCGGAAUAUGACAUGUAGCGGUGAAAUGCUUAGAUAUGUCACAGAACGCCGAUUGCGAAGGCAGCUCACCAAGCUAUGAUUGACGCUGAGGCUCGAAAGCGUGGGGAUCCAACAGG